CAGCGGAGGAGGUGGAGGAGGCGCCGGGCGGCCGCUUCCCGCCCCCGAGCCUGAGCCGGUGCAGAGCGGGGUAGAGCCGAGGUCGGACUCGGAGUGGAGUCAGCUGAGCGGGCGCCGAGUCCCCGCCAUGGCCCGAAACACGGUGUCCUCGCGCUUCUGUCGGGUGGAUAUCGUUGAGUUUGACGAGAACAAAUUCGUGGACGAGCAGGAGGAGGCGGUGGCAGCGGCAGGCGAGCCAGGCCCGGACCCUAGAGAGGUGGAUGGCCUUCUGCGGCAAGGGGACAUGCUUCGGGCAUUCCACGCAGCCUUGCGGAACUCUCUCAUCAACACCAAGAAUCAAGGCCGUGAAGGAACGAGCCCAGGGCGUGGUGCUGAAAGUGCUCACAAACUUUAAGAGCAGUGAAAUUGAGCAGGCUGUGCAGUUGCUGGACAGAAAUGGCACUGACUUGCUAAUGAAGUACAUUUAUAAAGGGUUUGAGAAGCCCACAGAAAACAGCAGUGCAGUGUUACUCCAGUGGCAUGAAAAGGCAUUAGCAGUAGGAGGACUAGGCUCCAUUAUAAGAAUUCUUACAGCAAGAAAGACUGUUUAAAAAAAUAAAAGGACUCAUGUUACCUUGAGAAGAAUUUUGGAUGCACAGGCUGAUGAAGAGGGAUUGACAAUGGACCAUCUUCCUGGGAACUCCCAACUAAACUAUUCCAGGACAUGCAUCUGCUGAAGUGUAUUUUAUUUUCAAGGUGGAGGGAGUACUUGUCUGUUUCCUAAAUCCUUUGCAGGAUCUGAUAGUCUAUGCCUUUGUCCACGAGUAACACAGAACUGACCUCGUAACUGUCUGCCGGAGUGGCUGGUCAGCGUUGGCCGGGUGUAGCUGUGUGCUCUGCCUAUUUCACGUGGGGGAGGGACGAUCUGGGCAGGUACAGAUCCAAGGGCUGUGGCCGAAGGAAGAGCUUGUUUUUUUGAAGUAGUAAAACUUCGAGGGUUUAUACAGACAUCCCGUCUUCUGAGAGAAGACGGGCUCUCUUGGAUUCAUUGUAAAGUGCCUGCUAUAUCAAUAAAGCUCUUGGCUUAUUAGUA